CCCUGAUCCUGGGUGGGGGGGACAUUUGAGCCCUCCUGGGUCCUAGCCAGUUAGAACUGGAGCCCUGGGCCAGGACUGACAGGGGGUAGUGAAGCCGUGGGGGAGGGAGAGGUUGUCCCAGCUGUCAACAUCCUUGAUGGAUUAGGGGCAGGCCAGGGCCUGUAGCCAGCAUGUAGGAGUGGAACUGUGCCUGAGGAUUGUGUGUAGAGAAGGGAGAGGUUGUGGUGGAAAGCCUGGCUUCCAUGGGGAGAAACACUGUGCGUGAAAGUCGCAGCCAAAGGGAAUGGGGUGGGGGAGGUGAUCUGAACUAAAAAGUCCCUGGACCUGAGGAUGUGACUUUGUGUGGACACAGCCCUCAAAGGCUAUUUAAAGGGCUGAGAGCCUCCAUGUCCCUUUCAAUCUCUUGCCAGCAUGAUGGGCUCCUGGGUCUUCCCCACUUCGAUGCUCCUGCUCUGUCUGAUCCAGGGAAGCCAGCAAGGCGGGUUGGCCCCUCAGGGGAACGGCAUCCUGGGCUGGUUCCUUUCCUCAGCCCAUAUGAAAGGGGUUCCCCCAGGAGCAGGGGCUGCAGCUGGGGCUGGAAGCCCACCAGGAAAGGCAGGUUAUGGCGCACUGCCUAAUGGCUAUGGAGCAGGAGCUCCCAAUGGUGCAGGGGCUGGAUUCCAAAGCCCCACAGGGAAAGCUGGAUACAGGAAUGGACCAGGAGCAGCAGCCUUCCCUGGAGCUGGAGCCCAGCCAGGCCUUGGAGGGGGGAUGAAACCUCAAAAAGCAGCAUAUAGGAAUGGACUAGGUAAUGGAGCCUUUCCAGGAGCUGGAGCCCAGCCAGGUCUUGGAGCUGGAACCAAAUCUCAGAAACCAGGAUAUGGAAAUGGGCUGGGAAAUGGGGGGUUCCCUGCGGUUGGAGCCCAGCCAGGGAUAGCAGGGGGAAUGAAGCCUCAGAAAGCAGGUUAUGGAAAUGGACUGGGAACUGGGGGCUUUCCCAGGGCUGAAGCCCAGCCAGGAUUUGGAGCAGGAACCAAGCCUCAGAAAGCAGGAAAUGGAAAUGGGCUAGAAGUUGGAGCCUUCCCAGGAGCUAGAGCUCAGCCAGGUAAGAGGAUCUGGGUGCCAAACACCUGGAUUCUGGAAAGGGGAAUUCUGAGCGUAGGAAACCCAGAGAUAAUGUCCUGAAUACAGCAGAAGAGAGUAGAGGUCAUGGACAGAAGCCUGGACCAGAUGAUGGUAGAGGAGAGCAUGAGAGAACUGGUGGCUUCCCUGGGCU
rnacentral:lncRNA from 1 species